rnacentral:misc_RNA from 1 species
AAGUCGUAACAAGGUUUCCGUAGGUGAACCUGCGGAAGGAUCAUUAACACAUUGUCCAUUUGAUGAUAGGUGAUUAGGAGGAACUCGUUUGUUUCUUUAGUCCCUAUCAUUCAAACCUAAUAGCGAAUGAGUUGAAGUCCUCAUUAUUAAUUAACUUUAAUAAUUAGUGGAAUAAGACUAAAAUGUAAUCACGUUUAAUGAAUCCCUUAAAUUGGAUUCAUUCGACUAAAUGUUUACAAAACAAACAAUAUAAAUAACCAAGAUAACUUGUAACAGUGGAUACCUUGGUUCCCAG